AAGAAGUGAACCGUCAGCCACCACCCACCGUCACUUUGAGGAUUGGUCGAUCGUGGCUCUGCGGCUGCCCACUCGCCUGCCGGCCGAUGCCCGCCCUGCCGCCUGGUCGCCGGCCGCCGCGGAGCGAGCGCUGGUCUACGUAGGUCCGGUCUGCAGCAGCAGCAACUUCUGCUCAAGUGCCCAUCCCCAAGCUUUAUUAAUCUCAAUCUCAUCCCAACUCCCAAACUGCCAUAGGCAAACAGAAACACAGAGUUAGAAAGAAAGGGACGACACCAUCACCACCAACAGAUGUUUUUGAGUUAUAAAGAUUGUGAAGGGUGCUUUGCCUAACAAAAUUGAUGGUGAUUAUUUGAGCCAUAGCCUAAUUUGCUUCAUGGAAAAUGGACUGCUAGACGACAUUGCUUGUAAAGUGAUUCUUGAUCGUUUCCAUAAGAUUAAAGAUCGCCGCGGGAGAAAUGAAUUAACACAAUAUUUAUGGUAGAGAUGAAUUGUCUUUUGCGAAAUAUGAACUAUUUGGAUUUCAAGUCUUUUUGUAAGGCGUGUGCGUGGUUCUACAGGAAUAACCACGGAGGGAUCCGGCGUAGAAGAUCCAGCAGGAUCAGCCGUAUCAGUGGAUGCGGAUCCCCCAGCAGCUUCGGCGCCAGGAGCAGCCACACCCAAUCCCGAGGCAGAGGCAGGCAGGGCGACCCAACCAGGUGAACACGCAGGGGAGACCGUGGCAGGCCUGGGCGAAGCAGGGGAGACCGUGGUGGGCCCGGGCGAGGCAGGUGAGCGCGUCCGCCCGUGGCAGGUGCGCCCCGUGUCUCCCGGGGAUUGGCGCGGUGAGGCGACGUCGCUGUCACCGCUGGCGUCGGCAGGAGGAGGUGUGCGCCCAGCGGAAUCAGCGCCAGGGGCGCCAGAGGCGGGCCCGACAGAAUCAGCGCCAGAGGCGGAUCCUGAGACUGGGGGCGCUUCCGUCUGCAGCGGAGUUGAUCCCGAGGCGGAUCCUCCUCGGGUUGCUUUGUCUCCUGGAAGGGGGCACAUAAAAUGACCACCUGUUUCAUCAUUUUGUACUCUGUUUUCACCGGGAAUAAUUGUUCCUGCAGUAGUAGACUUAGCCAUGGUAUGAUGAUUAGUCACAAAUAGGUCAGAACUACUAUUAGCACGCUCAUGAUCAAGUCCAGAAAGAGAUGGCGAUUGUUGUAUGGACGGAGAUUUGGCCAACACGCACAACCAAAGACACGAAGAGGAGCGUAGUCUAGUUUGAGAUGAAGAAGAUGUUCUGUGGGUGUUUCAUUGUUAAUGACAUGACUGGGCAAGAUAUUAAUGAGGUGAACAGCAGUCAAGAAGGCUUCAUCCCAAAACUUUAGCGGCAUGGAAGCAGUAGCAAGUAAUGCAAGUCUACUUCAACAAUAUGGCGAUGCUUGCAUUCAGCACUACCGUUUUGUUGGUGAGCAUGUGGGCAAGAGACGCGGUGAGAGAUGCCUUUUGGAAAAACGAGUUUAGUUUCUCGUACUCACCACCCCAGUCUGAUUGCAUGGCAAUAAUUUUACGAUCAAAUUUUCUCUCGACUAGAGCUUGAAAGUUAUGGAAAACUUGAAAGACAUCGGGACGUUUCUUAAGGAGAUAAAUCCACGUGAAUUUACUGUAGUCAUCAAUAAAGCUCACAUAAUAAGUGUGUCUACCAACGGAAGAGGGUGCUGGACCCCACACAUCAGAAAAGAUCAAUUGCAAGGGUUUAACAGACACACUAGUAGAAAUAGAAUAUGGGGAAGAAACA